UCCUACGGGAGGCAGCAGUGGGGAAUAUUGCACAAUGGGCGCAAGCCUGAUGCAGCAACGCCGCGUGAGGGACGAAGGCCUUCGGGUUGUAAACCUCUUUUAGUAGGGAAGAAGCGACUGGGUUUUCCUGGGAGUGACGGUACCUGCAGAAAAAGCACCGGCUAACUACGUGCCAGCAGCCGCGGUAAUACGUAGGGUGCAAGCGUUGUCCGGAAUCAUUGGGCGUAAAGAGCUCGUAGGCGGUUUGUCGCGUCUGCUGUGAAAACCCGAGGCUCAACCUCGGGCCUGCAGUGGGUACGGGCAGACUAGAGUGCGGUAGGGGAGAUUGGAAUUCCUGGUGUAGCGGUGGAAUGCGCAGAUAUCAGGAGGAACACCAACGGCGAAGGCAGAUCUCUGGGCCGUAACUGACGCUGAGGAGCGAAAGCAUGGGGAGCGAACAGGAUUAGAUACCCUGGUAGUCCAUGCCGUAAACGUUGGGAACUAGAUGUGGGGACCAUUCCACGGUCUCCGUGUCGCAGCUAACGCAUUAAGUUCCCCGCCUGGGGAGUACGGCCGCAAGGCUAAAACUCAAAGGAAUUGACGGGGGCCCGCACAGGCGGCGGAGCAUGCGGAUUAAUUCGAUGCAACGCGAAGAACCUUACCAAGGCUUGACAUAUACCGGAAACGGCUGGAAACAGUCGCCCCGCAAGGUCGGUAUACAGGUGGUGCAUGGUUGUCGUCAGCUCGUGUCGUGAGAUGUUGGGUUAAGUCCCGCAACGAGCGCAACCCUCGUCCUGUGUUGCCAGCACGUAAUGGUGGGAACUCAUGGGAUACUGCCGGGGUCAACUCGGAGGAAGGUGGGGAUGACGUCAAAUCAUCAUGCCCCUUAUGUCUUGGGCUUCACGCAUGCUACAAUGGCCGGUACAAAGGGCUGCGAUACCGCAAGGUGGAGCGAAUCCCAAAAAGCGGUCUCAGUUCGGAUUGAGGUCUGCAACUCGACCUCAUGAAGUCGGAGUCGCUAGUAAUCGCAGAUCAGCAACGCUGCGGUGAAUACGUUCCCGGGCCUUGUACACACCGCC
rnacentral:rRNA from 1 species